UUGAUACAAGUGAUGACUGCAUAGUUCAGCAGAAAAUCCAUGUAGAAGGAAAUGCUCAUUGUCUUUCGCUCCUAGCUGAUGUAUCUC